rnacentral:lncRNA from 12 species
GGACCCAUCCCUUCAGCAGGUAGCUACCUACAUUGAAAGAUUUCACUCCUAACUUUCUGGCUAUUCUUUCAGCCUCAAGCUCCACUUUCUGAUAACCAAGUCUAUUGGACAACAAUUUUAUGCAACUUGAGGUGCCUAUUGAUUGAGGAGUACUCUUGGGUAAAAUACUGCAGAUUCACAGAUCUUUACUUCCUGCAGUCAAUCUUGCAAGGGAAUGGAAAACAUGACCUUUCUCUCUCUCGCCUCAUCUUAGCAUCAUGGAUUGGUAAAUAUAUUCUAUCUUUCCCUAGAUAUUUCAUUAUUAUUACCAUAUUUCCACAGCAGAAAAUAUGAAGGGGAAGAAAGAGCAAAAAAUAAAUAUAAAAUAGAGAAAAGAAAGAAAAAUGCA